GCCCGGGUAGUGUAGAGGCCCAUCAUGGAGCCCUGUCGAGGCUUCGACUCGGGUUCGAAUCCCGACCUGGGCG
rfam:Candidatus Syntrophoarchaeum caldarius isolate BOX2 BOX2_8_reassembly_contig03, whole genome shotgun sequence.